rnacentral:rRNA from 1 species
GUGAACGCUGGCGGCGUGCCUCAUACAUGCAAGUCGAACGAACGAAUAAGAGCUUGCUCUUAUAAGUUAGUGGCGCACGGGUGAGUAAUAUAUAGCUAAUCUGCCUCUUAGUAGAGGAUAACAGUCGGAAACGAUUGCUAAUACUCUAUACUUCUGCUUUACAUAAGUAAAGUAGAGAAAGUUUUUCGCUAAGAGAUGAGGCUAUACUGUAUCAGCUAGUUGGUAAGGUAACGGCUUACCAAGGCUAUGACGCAUAACUGGUCUGAGAGGAUGAUCAGUCACAUUGGAACUGAGACACGGUCCAAACUCCUACGGGAGGCAGCAGUAGGGAAUAUUGCGCAAUGGGGGAAACCCUGACGCAGCAACGCCGCGUGGAGGAUGACACUUUUCGGAGCGUAAACUCCUUUUAUCGGGAAAGAAUAAUGACGGUACCCGAUGAAUAAGCACCGGCUAACUCCGUG